rnacentral:rRNA from 1 species
AACGAACGCUGGCGGCAGGCUUAACACAUGCAAGUCGAGCGCCCCGCAAGGGGAGCGGCAGACGGGUGAGUAACGCGUGGGAAUCUACCCAUCUCUACGGAAUAACGCAUGGAUACGUGUGCUAAUACCGUAUACGUCCUUCGGGAGAAAGAUCUAUCGGAGAUGGAUGAGCCCGCGUUGGAUUAGCUAGUUGGUGGGGUAAAGGCCUACCAAGGCGACGAUCCAUAGCUGGUCUGAGAGGAUGAUCAGCCACACUGGGACUGAGACACGGCCCAGACUCCUACGGGAGGCAGCAGUGGGGAAUAUUGGACAAUGGGCGCAAGCCUGAUCCAGCCAUGCCGCGUGAGUGAUGAAGGCCCUAGGGUUGUAAAGCUCUUUCACCGGUGAAGAUAAUGACGGUAACCGGAGAAGAAGCCCCGGCUAACUUCGUGCCAGCCGCCGCGGUAAUAC